rnacentral:rRNA from 1 species
UUGAACGCUGGCGGCAGGCCUAACACAUGCAAGUCGAACGGUAACAGGAAGCAGCUUGCUGCUUCGCUGACGAGUGGCGGACGGGUGAGUAAUGUCUGGGAAACUGCCUGAUGGAGGGGGAUAACUACUGGAAACGGUAGCUAAUACCGCAUAACGUCGCAAGACCAAAGAGGGGGACCUUCGGGCCUCUUGCCAUCGGAUGUGCCCAGAUGGGAUUAGCUAGUAGGUGGGGUAACGGCUCACCUAGGCGACGAUCCCUAGCUGGUCUGAGAGGAUGACCAGCCACACUGGAACUGAGACACGGUCCAGACUCCUACGGGAGGCAGCAGUGGGGAAUAUUGCACAAUGGGCGCAAGCCUGAUGCAGCCAUGCCGCGUGUAUGAAGAAGGCCUUCGGGUUGUAAAGUACUUUCAGCGGGGAGGAAGGGAGUAAAGUUAAUACCUUUGCUCAUUGACGUUACCCGCAGAAGAAGCACCGGCUAACUCCGUGCCAGCAGCCGCGGUAAUACGGAGGGUGCAAGCGUUAAUCGGAAUUACUGGGCGUAAAGCGCACGCAGGCGGUUUGUUAAGUCAGAUGUGAAAUCCCCGGGCUCAACCUGGGAACUGCAUCUGAUACUGGCAAGCUUGAGUCUCGUAGAGGGGGGUAGAAUUCCAGGUGUAGCGGUGAAAUGCGUAGAGAUCUGGAGGAAUACCGGUGGCGAAGGCGGCCCCCUGGACGAAGACUGACGCUCAGGUGCGAAAGCGUGGGGAGCAAACAGGAUUAGAUACCCUGGUAGUCCACGCCGUAAACGAUGUCGACUUGGAGGUUGUGCCCUUGAGGCGUGGCUUCCGGAGCUAACGCGUUAAGUCGACCGCCUGGGGAGUACGGCCGCAAGGUUAAAACUCAAAUGAAUUGACGGGGGCCCGCACAAGCGGUGGAGCAUGUGGUUUAAUUCGAUGCAACGCGAAGAACCUUACCUGGUCUUGACAUCCACGGAAGUUUUCAGAGAUGAGAAUGUGCCUUCGGGAACCGUGAGACAGGUGCUGCAUGGCUGUCGUCAGCUCGUGUUGUGAAAUGUUGGGUUAAGUCCCGCAACGAGCGCAACCCUUAUCCUUUGUUGCCAGCGGUCCGGCCGGGAACUCAAAGGAGACUGCCAGUGAUAAACUGGAGGAAGGUGGGGAUGACGUCAAAUCAUCAUGCCCUUUAUGACUUGGGCUACACACGUACUACAAUGGCGUUAAACAAAGAGAAGCAAGACCGCGAGGUGGAGCAAAACUCAAAAAAGUAGUCUCAGUUCGGAUUGUAGACUGAAAUUCGUCUACAUGAAGCUGGAAUUGCUAGUAAUGGCAGGUCAGCAUACUGCCGUGAAUACGUUCCCGGGCCUUGUACACACCGCCCGUCACACCACUCGAGUUGUCUGCACCCGAAGUCGCUGGCCUAACCUUUUGGAGGGAGGCGCCGAAGGUGUGGAGGGUAAGAGGGGUG